ACCGGCAGGAAGCUGUCCUGCUGCGCCCGGUUGAACCGGUGGAUCUCGUCGACGAAAAGCAGCGUCUGGCGCCCCGACAUGCGCCGGGCGCGGGCAGAU
rnacentral:sRNA from 1 species